UCAGCUAAAUCAUAAACAAGCAGAGCUCCAGAUAAGAUUUAGCUCUUGUAGGUACUGUACCCAUUGUAUUUUUUUGGAAUGGGUAUUAUGAAUGUUGAGUGGGUAUUUCAUUUUCCGUUACCCACUGCUUUCAAAUAUGUGCGUAUUUCAGUCAUUUUACUCAGCUAAGUAUUAUGUCAUUGAGUAGGUUUACU
rnacentral:lncRNA from 1 species